CGAAAUGCGAUAAGUAAUGUGAAUUGCAGAAUUCAGUGAAUCAUCGAAUCUUUGAACGCACCUUGCGCUCCUUGGUAUUCCUUGGAGCAUGCCUGUUUGAGUAUCAUGAAAUCUUCAAAGUAAAUCUUUUGUUAACUCAAUUGGUUUCUACUUUGGUAUUGGAGGUCUUUGCAGCUUCACACCUGCUCCUCUUUGUUCAUUAGCUGGAUCUCAGUGUUAUGCUUGGUUCCACUCGGCGUGAUAAGUUAUCUAUCGCUGAGGACACUGUAAAAGGUGGCCAAUGUAAAUGCAGAUGAACCGCUUCUAAUAGUCCAUUGACUUGGACAAUACUUUUAUGAUCUGAUCUCAAAUCAGGUAGGACUACCCGCUGAACUUAAGC
rnacentral:misc_RNA from 1 species